rnacentral:rRNA from 1 species
AAUACACGAGUGGCGCACGGGUGAGUAACGCGUGGAUAUCUGCCUUUUGGUUCGGAAUAACCCCGGGAAACUGGGGCUAAUACCGGAUGGUUCCUUCGGGAUAAAGAUUUAUCGCCAAAAGAUGAGUCCGCGUCCGAUUAGCUAGUUGGUGAGGUAAUGGCUCACCAAGGCGACGAUCGGUAGCUGGUCUGAGAGGACGAUCAGCCACACUGGGACUGAGACACGGCCCAG